rnacentral:rRNA from 1 species
GGGGAAUUUUGCACAAUGGGGGCAACCCUGAUCCAGCCAUGCCGCGUGAGUGAAGAAGGCCUUUGGGUUGUAAAGCUCUUUCGGCGGGGCACAAAUGGCAACGGCUACUCUCCGUUGUUGAUUACGGUACCAGCCUAAUAAUCACCGGCUCACUUCCUGCCAGCAGCCGCGGUAAUACGUAGGGUGCGAGCGUUAAUCGGAAUUACUGGGCGUAAAGCGUGCGCAGGCGGUUUCGUAAGACAGACGUGAAAUCCCCGGGUCAACCUGGGAACUGCGUUUGUGAAUGCGAGGCUAGAGUACGGCAGAGGGGGGUAGAAUUCCACGUGUAGCAGUGAAAUGCGUAGAGAUGUUGAGGAAUACCGAUGGCGAAGGCAGCUCCCUGGGUUAGUAUUGACGCUCAUGCACGAAAGCGUGGGGAGCAAACA